rnacentral:rRNA from 1 species
UACGGAGGGUGCGAGCGUUGUCCGGAAUCACUGGGCGUAAAGGGCGCGUAGGCGGCGCGGGAAGUCCGUGGUGAAAGCCCGAGGCUCAACUUCGGGUCGGCCAUGGAUACUCCUGGGCUUGAGCACUGUAGAGGCAGGUGGAAUUCCGGGUGUAGCGGUGGAAUGCGUAGAGAUCCGGAAGAACACCGGUGGCGAAGGCGGCCUGCUGGGCAGUAGCUGACGCUGAGGCGCGACAGCGCGGGGAGCAAACAGG